GCCAGUGUUGCACAGUGGUUUGGGUGUUGGACUGCAGCUCUGAAGGCCAGGAUUCAAUUCCCAGUUUGUCU